rnacentral:rRNA from 1 species
UACGUAGGGUCCGAGCGUUGUCCGGAAUUAUUGGGCGUAAAGAGCUCGUAGGCGGUCUGUCGCGUCGGCUGUGAAAACACGGGGCUCAACUCCGUGCCUGCAGUCGAUACGGGCAGACUAGAGUUCGGUAGGGGAGACUGGAAUUCCUGGUGUAGCGGUGAAAUGCGCAGAUAUCAGGAGGAACACCGGUGGCGAAGGCGGGUCUCUGGGCAGAAACUGACGCUGAGGAGCGAAAGCGUGGGGAGCGAACAGG